rfam:Salmo salar isolate Sally breed double haploid chromosome ssa19, whole genome shotgun sequence.
AAUGCACCAAUUUGUAAGUCGCUCUGGAUAAGAGCGUCUGCUAAAUGACAGAAA